AACGGAGCCUGCAAACAAAUCAACUACUGUGCUAUUGAAGACAAGUGCAAACCCGGAACAUGCGCUUUAACGCAAGGAUCGUAUUUGUGCAACUCCCCACCGUGAUACCGAUCCACAUUAUAACCUCCCAAAACUGCAGUCAAAUCAACGAGUGUGAACUCAUCCCACCUCCCUGCGGCCUCGGGUGCUGUCAAAUGUAUUGACACCCUCGGAUCGUAUCAGUGCCUCUGCGGACACAUUGGUAGCUUUCAAUCAGAUCUAUACAGUCACCCGGUAUGCAGGGAUUCACCGGACCGGCACAUUCGUUGAUCGCUGCGCCGCCGGUGCUGUUAGUCCAGCCAAAAGGACAUAAGCAGUUAUAACUUCCUGGAGUAUUGACGCAGUUUCCUGGGUUGCAUGGAUUGAAAGGUGGAACACAUUCAUUGACGUCUACGAAAACGAAUGCAAAUUUCACUACCUAGUACCUAAUCCUGAUGUUGAUGAAUGCGAACUGGCUCCAUGUCGCCAUGGUGUAUGCCAAUGUACCAAAGGAACACAUGUCGAUGUGAUGCUGGCUACGAGUUUGUUGGCGGAACAUGCGUCUAUAUCAAUGAGUGCACCUUGUGCACCCAACGCACAGUGCCAGGACACGGACGGUGGCUUUUAUUGUUUUUGUCCUCCUGGAUUCACUUCUGAAAAUCCUAAGGCAACGAUCUGCAAAGCUAUCUCUACGGUGGACGUCACUACUAUGCGCUUUAGCUUUUUUAUUGGUUUUGUAUGUGAUAGGCAAAAAAAUAUUUGUGAACCGUUAACUUGCUACCGCGAUGGCACUUGUCGGCAUACUACCAAAUCGGUAUCGAUGGACGAUCACUGGACGACUGCGAGUGCAUUAUUAAUUUUGCCAAGGAUAUAUGUGGCCAGGGCAGGAGUUUACUGAUUGAUACUACGGUACUUGCCCAAAAGGCUUCCAGAUGAUUCAGAACGGAACCCAGAUUGU